CCUACGGGAGGCUGCAGUGGGGAAUAUUGGACAAUGGGGGCAACCCUGAUCCAGCCAUGCCGCGUGUGUGAAGAAGGCCCUCGGGUUGUAAAGCACUUUCAGUGAGGAAGAACGCCUGGUGGUUAAUACCCAUCAGGAAAGACAUCACUCACAGAAGAAGCACCGGCUAACUCCGUGCCAGCAGCCGCGGUAAUACGGAGGGUGCGAGCGUUAAUCGGAAUUACUGGGCGUAAAGCGCGCGUAGGUGGCUUGAUAAGCCGGUUGUGAAAGCCCCGGGCUCAACCUGGGAACGGCAUCCGGAACUGUCAAGCUAGAGUGCAGGAGAGGAAGGUAGAAUUCCCGGUGUAGCGGUGAAAUGCGUAGAGAUCGGGAGGAAUACCAGAGGCGAAGGCGGCCUUCUGGACUGACACUGACACUGAGGUGCGAAAGCGUGGGUAGCAAACAGGAUUAGAUACCCGAGUAGUC
rnacentral:rRNA from 1 species